AUUGAACGCUGGCGGUAUGCUUAACACAUGCAAGUCGAGCGGGGUGAUGGUGCUUGCACUAUCACUUAGCGGCGGACGGGUGAGUAAUGCUUAGGAAUCUGCCUAUUAGUGGGGGACAACAUCUCGAAAGGGAUGCUAAUACCGCAUACGUCCUACGGGAGAAAGCAGGGGAUCACUUGUGACCUUGCGCUACUAGAUGAGCCUAGGUCGGAUUAGCUAGUUGGUGGGGUAAAGGCCUACCAAGGCGACGAUCUGUAGCGGGUCUGAGAGGAUGAUCCGCCACACUGGGACUGAGACACGGCCCAGACUCCUACGGGAGGCAGCAGUGGGGAAUAUUGGACAAUGGGGGGAACCCUGAUCCAGCCAUGCCGCGUGUGUGAAGAAGGCCUUAUGGUUGUAAAGCACUUUAAGCGAGGAGGAGGCUCUUUUGGUUAAUACCCAAGAUGAGUGGACGUUACUCGCAGAAUAAGCACCGGCUAACUCUGUGCCAGCCGCCGCAGUAA
rnacentral:rRNA from 1 species